UAGCAACACAAUGCUGUUAUGGCUCCACUGUCCCCGUUGAGAGUCCGGGAGAAGAUGGCAGAGGGAAGAAAAAUACGUAGCGAGGUCCCCAACAGCUGGAGACAGACAACAAGACAUUAACAAUCCUCACGGCAGCAGCGAACCCAAACAGCACGCUCUGAGGGGAAACGCCGGGAUGAGAGAACCGGCUGGAUAGCCCGAGAUCUGAAGGCUGAGGAGGUACCGGCUCUGGAGGUCUCAGCCCUCCUCCAUCACUGAAAGCCUUGGGCAUUGCCUGUUUGAUUUCUCUCUUCUGGGAAGCAUCUGCUCCUGCCCCACCACCGAGGAUACCUCCCUUUUUUAGCCCCAGUCCUCAGCUGCUUUGAAUUUCAUGAUUAGCAGCCACGAGGAAUCAGUUUCCUGAUGACUCAGGAGCAAGGCAUGCAGGGAGUUCUCUACCUGGGGCUGCUUCCUCAAGAACUCACCCCAAGUUCCCUGCAAGGGAGCAGCCUUCCCUGAUUAGCACUGAGUCUGUCUGAGGUGCUCCAGGUCUGGCCGUCAUGGCCCUGGUGACCUCGUGGUUUUUUGGCUUUAAACCUCCAGCAACUGGCAAAGCAACCAGUACACAGGAGGUGCUUGAUAGACGCUUCUUGAACACAUGAAUGCAUGGAGGAAUGAAUGGACAAAUAAACCAGGCCAGUGUCCAGGCUCCCCUUUAACUUGGAGGAACGGGAGCAGGCUCGUCAGAUGCAAGCCUGCGUACCGGGAUUCAGCCAACAGACACGGGCAGUUGUUGAUCACAUCCAACGCGUCCCUAGGCCCAUGGAGGAGGCGACCGCAUGUGCUACCAGCAUCACAGUUCCCUCCAGGGCGAGGCUCCAGAGCUUUUCCAAGGGAAUCCUGAGGUGGUCUGGCUCAAAGCCCGGGUGGCCUGUCUGCUUCUUCCGAAGAGAGGAUGAUGGCCGGGAGUGCAGACUUCAAUGCCUAUGGAAGCCAGACCUCAAACACUUUUGCAGGCUCUUGACAUCACUGGCCCUAAGCAUCUUGUAUAUAGGGCUGAGAGGAUGAACCAGUUCUGAAAAGGAGUAGGACCUUUUCAGGGACUCGCACGGCGUUGUUUGCCCAGGGAGCAGACGUACACGGGCCUCUCACUGUUGUGGCCUCUCCCGUUGUGGAGCACGGGC